UGCUGCAGUAAAAAGGUUUCAUGUGAAGUACACAUGUAGUCUGGGAUGUCCUGUAUAACAACUGACAAUUGUUUUUUCUACUUAUUGGAAAUGGGGUCUUUAUAGCACUUUAUAUUAUGUUAAUACCCCAUUUCUCUAAAAUGCUGCAGUAAAUAGGUUUCAUGUGAAGUACAGAUAUAGUAUAGGAUGUCGUGUAUAAUAACUGACCAUUGUUUUUUUCUACUUAUUUAAAUUGGGGUCUUUAUAACACUUUGAAAUAUAAUAUUAUACAAUUUCUCCAAAACACUGCAGUAAUAACGUUUCAUGUGAAGUCCACAGAUAGUAUGGGAUGUCCUGUGUAAGAACUGACCAUUGUUUUUUUCUACUUAUUUAAAAUGCGGUCUUUAUAGUAUUUUAUAUUAUGUUUAUACCCCGUCUCUUUAAAAUGCUGCAGUAAAAAGGUUUCAUGUGAAGUACAUAUAUAGUAUGGGAUGUCCUGUGUAAGAACUGACCAUUGUUUUUUCCUACUUAUUUGAAAUGUAGUCUUUAUAGCACUUUUUAUUAGGUUAUUACCCCGUUUCUCCAAAACAGUGCAGUAAAAAGAUUUCAUAUGAAGUACACAUAUGGCAUGGGAUGUUCUGUACAGGAAGGUUUUUGUCUACUUAUUGGAAAUUGGGUCUUUAUAACACUGAGUAAUGUUAAUACCCAAUUUCUCCAAAACACUGCAGUAACAAGUCUUUAUUUGAAGUUUAGAAAAGUGAUGUCCUGUAUCAGACCUGACUAUUGUUUUUUUCUACAUAUUUUAAAUGAGCAUUUUUUGUCCAAAUUGCUGAAGUAAAAAGUAUUCAGAUGUAGUAUAUAUGCAUAUAGCAUGGGACAUCAAGUAUCAAACCAGAUCAGUCUUUUAUUUAACUUAUGUCAAACAAUGUAUUUAUAGCACUUUAAAGACUUUAUAGCUCAAUAAUAGCACAUUUCUCCAAAAUGCUGCAGUAAGUUAUUAUGAGGUAUGCAUAUAAUAUUGGAUGUCCUGUCCAUUGUUUUCUUCUGCUCACCUAAAUGAGGUCUUUUACAUGAGGUAUGCAUGUAAAUCCUGUAUCAGAACCAAACUUUGUUUUUUUUCUACUUAUUUCUUUAUAGCUCUUUAAAGUGUGUUAAUGGUACAUUUCUCCAAAAUGCUGCUGUAAAACAGGCUUCAUAUGAUGUAUGCUUAGUAUUUGACUUCCUGCAUCUGAUCUUAUUGUUGUUCUAUUCUACUUAUAACAAAUAAUAAGGUCUGUACAGUCAUCUAAAGUGUAAUAAUGCCCCAUAUCCCAUAUACUGAAAGAAGCAUAACCUUUUAAAUCCCCUUUAAAUGAAAUAAACAUAUAUUUGUAAUUCAAACAAUGUUUUGUUGGACUACUUUAUGAUUGUUUUCACUUUCUGAGGUUAGCCACGUUGUAUAAACUUGCAUUUAACCUUAUUUGCAAUGUACUGUAGUUGGCUAGGAGAAGUAGAAACGCAUUCUGUGUAUUUAGAAAUCGUAUAUUUAUUCUGUCCGUUUGAUCUGCUAUAAAAUCAUUUGAAGCAAAAAGAUAAACUUGAGGAAAUUAAAGGUAAGCCCAGAAACCAAUUUCUUAAAAUAACAACAGUCAAAAAAAGCUAAUAAAUUGUUUAAUAAAGCAUACGUGGGAGGAAAGGGGGAUAAACUUAUAUUUCGUUGUAAUCUCUCUGUUCAGGGCGAAAUG
ensembl:processed_transcript